UUCUUAUCGAGAGAAGUCGAGGGACUGGCCCUAUGACGCUUCAGCAACCAGCCGUAAAGGCUAAGGUGCUAAAUCCAGCAGGCAUGACUUUGCCUGGCAGAUGAAAA
rnacentral:ncRNA from 2 species